rnacentral:rRNA from 1 species
UUUAUUGGAGAGUUUGAUCCUGGCUCAGGACGAACGCUGGCGGCAUGCCUAAUACAUGCAAGUCGAGCGGACUUGAAGAGAAGCUUGCUUCUCUGAUGGUUAGCGGCGGACGGGUGAGUAACACGUAGGCAACCUGCCCUCAAG